rnacentral:rRNA from 1 species
AAUUUUGGACAAUGGGGGCAACCCUGAUCCAGCCAUCCCGCGUGUGCGAUGAAGGCCUUCGGGUUGUAAAGCACUUUUGGCAGGGAAGAAAAGGCGCAGGCCAAUACCCUGUGCUGCUGACGGUAACUGCCUAACAAGCACCGGCCGACGUCGUGCCAGCACCCGCGGUAAUACGUAGGGUGCAAGCGUUAAUCGGAAUUACUGGGCGUAAAGCGUGCGUCGGCGGUUUGGCAAGAAAGGUGUGAAAUCCCAGAGCUUAACUUUGGAACUGCACUUUUAACUGCCAGGCUAGAGUAUGUCAGAGGGGGGUAGAAUUCCGCGUGUAGCAGUGAAAUGCGUAGAGAUGCGGAGGAAUACCGAUGGCGAAGGCAGCCCCCUGGGAUAAUACUGACGCUCAGGCACGAAAGCGUGGGGAGCAAAC